rnacentral:rRNA from 1 species
UACGUAGGGGGCAAGCGUUGUCCGGAUUUAUUGGGCGUAAAGAGCGUGUAGGCGGUUUGGUAGGUCCGUUGUGAAAACUCGAGGCUCAACCUCGAGACGCCGAUGGAAACCAUCAGACUAGAGUCCGGAAGAGGAGAGUGGAAUUCCUGGUGUAGCGGUGAAAUGCGCAGAUAUCAGGAGGAACACCUGUGGCGAAAGCGGCUCACUGGACCAUAACUGACGCUGAUGCACGAAAGCUGGGGGAGCAAACAGG